rnacentral:lncRNA from 1 species
ACGGUCUAGAAACAAGGUUGUUGUCGGAGCCGGAAGGUUAGAUGUGUGCCAUACUGGCGGGACUUGUGUUGCAGCACGCGGUCACCUGUCGCCAGUCGCCUCCAAGUCUGUGUGAGCUUCGAGAAAACGUGGCUCCAGCCGACCGGAUGCUCUUGAAGUUGCAAAGACAGCUUGGGGGCCACAGAUCAAGCCCCGCCCGCGUUUCGGCUCUUUCCAGGAGGUGUUCUUGAACAGCGCUUCGCUCUGAACACCGAGAGCCACCUUAGCAACAGGGAUGUGGAACCAACAGUCCAUCAUCACACUCAGAAGCAAGAUGACUAUCUGUAAGAUGGCUCAGCAGGAAAGAUACUUUUGCUAUCAAGUCUGACAACUUGAUACUAAUCCCUUCAUCCC